rnacentral:rRNA from 1 species
UCGUAAGCUGUCAUGCAAGUCAGUGGGUGAAUCCUGCGCUACUGUAGAACUGCCAUUGAAAUGCUGAGUCUUGAAUUAAUUUGAAGUUGCGGAAUGAGUAGUGUAGCGGUGAAAUGCAUAGAUACUACUCAGAACACCGAUUGCGAAGGCAGCUAACUAAGAUUAUAUUGACGCUGAUGGACGAAAGCGUAGGUAGCGACAGGAUUAGAUACCCUGGUAGUCUACGCAGUAAACGAUGGAUACUAGUGGUCGGGGAAAUUGAGACUCGGUGGCUAAGCGAAAGUGAUAAGUAUCCCACCUGGGGAGUACGAUCGCAAGAUUGAAACUCAAAGGAAUUGACGGGGGCCCGCACAAGCGGUGGAGCAUGUGGUUUAAUUCGAUGAUACGCGAGGAACCUUACCUGGGCUUAAAUGUAGAUUGACGGAUCUUGAAAUAGGAUUUCCUUCGGGCAAUUUACAAGGUGCUGCAUGGUUGUCGUCAGCUCGUGCCGUGAGGUGUCAGGUUAAGUCCUAUAACGAGCGCAACCCCUAUCGAUAGUUGCUAGCAGGUAAUGCUGAGGACUCUAUUGAGACUGCCGGUGCAAACCGUGAGGAAGGUGGGGAUGACGUCAAAUCAUCACGGCCCUUACGUCCAGGGGUACACACGUGCUACAAUGGUGCAUACAGAGAGCAGCCAUCUAGUGAUAGAGAGCGAAUCUAUAAAGUGCAUCACAGUUCGGAUCGUAGUCUGCAACUCGACUACGUGAAGCUGGAAUCGCUAGUAAUCGCAGAUCAGCCAUGCUGCGGUGAAUACGUUCCCGGGCCUUGUACACACCGCCCGUCAAGCCAUGGAAGCUGGGAGUACCUGAAGUUCGUAACCGUAAGGAGCGACCUAGGUAGCUGA